UUUGGUGAUUAUAUCAAGAAGGACACACCUGUUCCCAUACCGAACACAGAAGUUAAGCUUCUUAGAGCCGAUGAUAGUUCACGCGAAAGUAGGACGUCGCCAAGC
rnacentral:rRNA from 1 species